GCUCUUCUAGUAUACUAAUUACAAUUGACUUCCAAUCUCUAAAAUCUGGAUCAAACCCAGAGAAGAGCA
rnacentral:tRNA from 1 species